CAUGCGAGUCUUGCGGCGUCGUCCUUUAAGUAGGGCGACUCGUAUGGCGCACGAGUGAGUAAUGUAUGGGUUACCCAGCUCAGCAAAGACCAACAAAUUUCCCCGAAGUGCUUCAAAGAAUACAAAGUACCGGGGGAAAAGUAACGGUGUUGGUCUUUGGAGAAGGACUCAUAUAGCAUUAGGUUGUCGGUAGGGUAAUGGCUUACCGAGCCCAGGAUGCUUCGCCGUGUUGGGAGAUGGUACGGCCACGGUGGAACUGAGACACGGUCCACAGAGUCAUUUCAGCAGUGGGUAAACUUCGACAAUGAGUGCAAGCUUGAUCGAGCCACUACACGUGAGUGAAGAAGGAUUUCUGUAAAACUCAUAUUAAAAGUCCCGGCAAACUUCGUGCCAGCAGCCGCGGUAAUACGAUGGGGGCGAGCGUUAUCCGACAUAACUGGGCUGGGCGCGUAGGCUUUAAGCCAACGGUCGGCCGAGGCGUUUUUUUAAAGGCCAAGACGUUGGUUUGAUUGAGGAGGGCAAACACUACGGCCGUUGAAUGGGGUGUGAAGAGGUAAAAUUCACUGAUAUACUCCGGACGAACAAACGCGAAGGCGGCGGCCACAGCCCCUACCUGACGCUGAGGCGCGGAAGCGCGGGCAGCCAAUGGGAUUAGAUACCCCAGUAGUCCACGCCGUCAAAAACCCAAACCCGCAUUCAUGUUUUUUUUCCAGUUUGCGGAAAGGGCGCCUGGGAACUACGGUCGCAAGACUCAAACCUAAAGGAAUUGGCGGUAGCUCAAACAAGCGGCGGAACAUGCUGUUUAAUUCGACACUACGCGAGACACCUCACCAGUGCUUGUAAACCCCUCCGGGGACAUCCUCAGGUGCUGCAUGGCUGUCGUCAGUUCGUGGCCUUUUCCAAUCCAAGCUGUCUGGUUCAUUCCACCAACGAACGAAACCCCAAAAAAAAUAUACCUGCGAAAAGCCCUUGGGAUCACUUCAAGUCAUCAUGGCCCCAAUGCACUGGGCGACAGGUGUGUUACGUUAGCGAUACUAGAGUCACCAAAAAAUCGCUGGUUCGGAUAGUGGUCUGCAACUCGACCUCUUGAAGAAGGAGUCGCUAGUAAUCGGGGAACAUGUCGCCCCGGUGAAUCGGUCACUGAGCUGUGCACACACCGCCCAUCACGUUCGAAAAGAUACAGUUGGUUAAGACCCCCGCCCCAGGAAGGGCUAGCGCUACGCGCUCCGAGGAAAGCGCCUUCGGCGCUUCCAAGCCAUGGAAGCGCCGCAGUUAUGGCCCUUCGCUUGCUUUGGGGGUUCAACCCAAUUGUUUCAAUUUGAAUGAAGUUGUAACACGGUAGCUGUAGGGGAACCUGCAGCUGGACUGUUUUGUUCUUAAUUUAUGGAUUAAAACUUACAAUAAUUCUGUGAUAAGAUAUAAUGAAGGCAAACACUCUAGUUAUCCGUGCCGUU
rnacentral:rRNA from 1 species